AGGUGAUGAUGACGUUCUCCGGCUUGAUGUCCAGGUGGAGGAUGCGUCGGGUGUGGAGGUAUUCCAGGCCCUGUAGGAUCUGCACAAUAAAUAGGAAACCGCCGCCAGAGAAGCGACCACUUCAACAAGUACAUCCCUGUGGGCUCACCUGUCUAUGAGGCUGAAGAGCAGCUCCUUUCCACUGCAGUACUCAGAGAUGAGCACCAGGAAAUAUUUACUCAGAUCUUCUCCUUAAGCAAUAAUAACAUUAUUGGAAAACCCUCGACUCCGAUCAAAGGUGUAAGGCUUCUGUGGGACUCCCUGGCGCAGAGAUCCGUCUCCGGGCUUUCCCAGCGGCGUCCUGCGUCCCGAAGGUGUAGCCCGC